GAUGAACGCUAGCGGCAGGCUUAAUACAUGCAAGUCGAGGGGCAGCACAGGUAGCAAUACUGGGUGGCGACCGGCAAACGGGUGCGGAACACGUACGCAACCUUCCUUUAAGUGGGGGAUAGCCCAGGGAAACUUGGAUUAAUACCCCUUAACAUUAUGAGAUGGCAUCAUUUUAUAAUUAAAGCUCCGGCGCUUAAAGA
rnacentral:rRNA from 1 species